rnacentral:rRNA from 1 species
GACGAACGCUGGCGGCGUGCCUAAUACAUGCAAGUAGAACGCUGAAGAGAUAAGCUUGCUCUCUUUGGCUGAGUUGGUGACGGGUGAGUGACGCAUAGAUAAGCAGCUAGGUUGCGGGGGAGAACUAUUGGAAACGAUAGAUAAUAACCCAUAAUAGUAGAUGUUGCAUGACAUUUGCUUAAAAGGUGCAAUGGCAUCACUACCAGAUGGACCUGCGUUGUAUUAGCUAGUUGGUGAGGUAACGGCUCACCAAGGCAACGAUACAUAGCCGACCUGAGAGGGUGAUCGGCCACACUGGGACUGAGACACGGCCCAGACUCCUACGGGAGGCAGCAGUAGGGAAUCUUCGGCAAUGGAGGGAAGUCUGACCGAGCAACGCCGCGGGAGUGAAGAAGGUUUUCGGAUCGUAAAGCUCUGUUGUAAGAGAAGAACGAGUGUGAGAGUGGAAAGUUCACACUGUGACGGUAUCUUACCAGAAAGGGACGGCUAACUACGUG